UACGGAGGAUGCGAGCGUUAUCCGGAUUUAUUGGGGUUUAAAGGGUGCGCAGGCGGGCUGUUAAGCCGGCGGUAAAAAUUCAGGGCUCAACCCUGUCGAGCCGUCGGAACUGGCAGUCUUGAGUGGGCGAGAAGUAUGCGGGAAUGCGUGGUGUAGCGGUGAAAUGCAUAGAUAUCACGCAGAACUCCGAUGCGAAGGCAGCAUACCGGCGCUCAACUGACGCUCAUGCACGAAAGCGUGGGUA
rnacentral:rRNA from 1 species